AAUUGCAGAACAUAGAAGAAAUUUAUAGAAAUCGAAAGGGAUAUCUAUCAUUAAAUGUACAGAAUGGCCGGGUAGCCA
rnacentral:misc_RNA from 1 species